AAUAUUGGACAAUGGGCGAAAGCCUGAUCCAGCCAUGCCGCGUGUGUGAAGAAGGGCUUCGGAUUGUAAAGCACUUUAAGGUGGGAGGAAGGGGUUGAAGCUAAUACCUCCACUCUUUGAUGUUACGAACAGAUUAAGCACCGGCUAACCCUGUGCCAUCAGCCGCGGUAAUACAGAGGGUGCAAGCGUUAAUCUGAAUUACUGGGCGUAAAGCGCGCGUAGGUGGUUCAGUAAGAUGGAAGUGAAAUCCCCGGGCUUAACCUGGGAACUGCUUUCAUAACUGCUGAGCUAGAGUACGGUAGAGGGUAGUGGAAUUUCCUGUGUAGCGGUGAAAUGCGUAGAUAUAGGAAGGAACACCAGUGGCGAAGGCGACUACCUGGACUGAUACUGACACUGAGGUGCGAAAGCGUGGGGAGCAAACAGG
rnacentral:rRNA from 1 species